rnacentral:rRNA from 1 species
AUGGUAGUAGGACUGAUAUGGAAUGUUAGGGGGCUUAACAAGCCUGAUAAACUAAGUGCAGUGGGGAAACUCAUUAGAGACACCCAUGCUGACUUGGUAGGGUUUUCUGAAUCUAAGAAGGAAACUUUUACUAGUUAUCAACUUAAGACUUUAGACCCUAGGGAGGAUUUCACCUGGAAUUGGAUGCCAGCUAUUGGUACAACAGGAGGUAUUUUGGUAGGUAUCAAACAAGAUGAUUUUGAGAUUAUUAGUGUAGAUACCCUUCAGUUCUCUGUUGCUUGUUUGAUUAAAAAUAAGAGGGAUGACAAUAUAUGGAGAUUUAUUGCAGUUUAUGGGGCUGCUUAUGAUAAUCUUAAGUUGGAAUUUAUAAAUGAGCUCCAUAACACUAUGGAGGCAUGGUUGGGUCCUACUAUUAUUGGUGGUGACUUCAACCUGGUAAGGAGUAGUGAUGAGAAAAGCACUGGAGCUGUGAAUCUACAGUGGGUGACUUUAUUCAAUGAUUGGGUCAAUAAAUAUGCCCUGAUUGAGCUAAAAAACUAUACUAGGAAGUAUACUUGGUCCAACAACCAGGAUAAUCUGGUGAUGGCUAACAUUGAUAAGGUGUUUAUUUCCACAUGUUGGGAAAGCUUGUACCCAGCUGUUCAGCUCAAAGCCCUUCCUAGGGUGGGUAGUGAUCACACCCCCCUAGUUUUUGACACUGGAGCUAUUAAACCACCUAAGGAUAAAGAGUUUAGGUUUGAAAAGUGGUGGCUCCCAGUGGAGGGUUUUGUUGAGUUGGUUCAAAAAAACUUGGAACAAACCUUGUUCUAUUGUGGACCUAUGGACAGAUGGCAAUUCAAAAUUAGAGUGCUUAGAAGGUGUGUAAAGGGUGGAAUGCCAAUUAUGAGGCUUCAAAAAAUAGGAAUAAGCAAUAGUUAG